rnacentral:lncRNA from 1 species
AAUGUGAAUGGUUCACGUAUAGUGGGGACCCCCUAUGGAUCCCCAUGGAUACUGGUAGGCUGAUAAAAGAGGAAAUUUGUUGCCUAAUGAUUGAAAUACAAAAGUAUGACAUGUACUAUGAUAUAGAUUAUGUAUGAAUUCAUGAUAUUUAUGAUGUUAUUGUUUCUUAUAAGUUGUUUUCAUGAAUCUCACUGAGGUAAGUGGACAUUAAAGGUUUUUAUUAUUG